rnacentral:rRNA from 1 species
UGGGGAAUAUUGCACAAUGGGGGAAACCCUGAUGCAGCGACGCCGCGUGAAGGAAGAAGUAUCUCGGUAUGUAAACUUCUAUCAGCAGGGAAGGAAAUGACGGUACCUGACUAAGAAGCCCCGGCUAACUACGUGCCAGCAGCCGCGGUAAUACGUAGGGGGGCAAGCGUUAUCCGGAUUUACUGGGUGUAAAGGGAGCGUAGACGGAGCAGCAAGUCUGAUGUGAAAGGCGGGGGACUCAACCUGUGGACUGCAUUGGAAACUGUUGGUCUUGAGUACCGGAGGGGCUAAGCGGAAUUCCUAGUGUAGCGGUGAAAUGCGUAGAUAUUAGGAGGAACACCAGUGGCGAAGGCGGCUUACUGGACGGUAACUGACGUUGAGGCCCGAAAGCGUGGGGAGCAAACAGGAUUAGAUACC